UACCGUAAAAGCCACACCCGUCGCGAGGCGGGGCCGGAAAGUCCCGGAUUUGCGCAAUUGAAGGGAACUCGCGCAGGUAGCCGGACUGCCAGU
rfam:Nitrosospira multiformis ATCC 25196, complete genome.